CCUCCUAUAUUUUCUUCUGGUGCAUUCACACUUGGUAGAGAUAUGAGGAAAGAAUGGUGCAUUUUGAUGGCCACCACAGACCAUACAGAUCUGCUGCUUCCCCCAGAGACAGGAAGAAGGGCUGGAGAUUGAGUUAAUGACCGAGUGUGCCUACAUAAUGAAGCCUCCAUAAAAAUUCCGCUGUUGGCAGAGGACCACUCUCAGCUACUGGUGGGCAUCUGCAUCUUCUUACCAGGAGACCCUCUUACAGCUCCUCUCAUCAGCUGAGCUUCUUCAAGACCAGCAGAAAAGUACCUCUCUCUUUUCUGACUCACCUCGACCAGCACCUCCUUCAGAAAAUCCUCCCUGAUAAUGCUGUAUUCUCAUUCCCUCCUCCUCCACAACCUAGUACAUUGAUUUUUGCAGUCACCCACGGAUAAGAGUACCCUUGUCCAGGAGUCCAGCAGAGAAACUCCACCAUGCCGUUGGAGCAGAAGAAUCCACGAAUAGACACAUUGAAGAAAGUAAGAGGAACAGUUUCACUUUGCCCACAUCCCUCUUCUCUGAAGGCUCAGUGGUAGGAAAGACCCCCACAGCCAUGAUUUCUUUCAUAGGGAAAACCGAGAGCAUGUGAGUGAGUGCCAGGGUUCCCCAGCCAGGCAGAAUGCUACCCAAGACAUUCACCUCUUCCUCACCUCACCCAGAUUACUGACGUGAUCUACAAGCUUGAGUGGUUGAGAAUUCAUCAAAGAGAUGCUAUUAACUGCCCAUUGUUCUGCCUACCAACUGAUUCACAGGCUGUCAGAAAGCCCAUCAGUGAAAAACCACAGAUGCCUCCCAUGCAGAUCUCCCCAAGACCACUCGCAUGCACCCCCGAUGUCCCCAGUGCCUAACUGUCCCCAUCCUCACAUAGCCAACUCCUAUGGUUGGUGAGCAUGAGGACUUGCACACGACUAGCAAGCAAGCACAGUCAGCCAGCCUACUGCUCAGAGAUGGGGUGAAGUCUCACCAACUGGAGCAUUUCAGAGCACUUCCUUAGGGAAAACAGGAGGCUCUCGGCAUCUGGCCAGGCCUUGCAGGAUUGAGAGGAGGCAUACACUCUUAGGAAUUUCCCUACAAAGGAACAAAAAGUGUGCAGCAGGCACACCCAUACAAAAGGUCUGAAAAGCAUCAGAAUCUCUAGCUGGGUAUUGGGUGAAGGAAUCUCUCUCCCAAAGCCAGUCAGUAAAGCCUGGAUGUGACUGCUUCUUCCGAAGUGAAAACAGUAGUUAGACAUCAAGCCAGGAACAUGAAAAAUCAAGGAAACAUGAUAUCACCAAAGGAACACAAUACUUUUCUAAAAACUGACACCAAAGAAAUGGAAAUCUCUAA